rnacentral:rRNA from 1 species
GACGGAGGGUGCAAGCGUUGUUCGGAUUUAUUGGGCGUAAAGGGUGCGUAGGCGGUUUGGCAAGUCUUAUGUGAAAUCUAUGGGCUCAACCCAUAGUCUGCAUAAGAAACUGCCGGGCUUGAGUAUGGGAGAGGUGAGUGGAAUUUCCGGUGUAGCGGUGAAAUGCGUAGAUAUCGGAAGGAACACCUGUGGCGAAAGCGGCUCACUGGACCAUAACUGACGCUGAUGCACGAAAGCUAGGGGAGCAAACAGG